AAGGAAGCGAACGAAGCUAGUGAAAGCUGCGUCAUACUUUCCAACUUGCUYGCAACUUGGACGCUGUGGCCAGCCCAGUUGGGCUUGAUUGCAACAGGUGAAAGCAGGUAAAGAAAAGAUUCCAUUUUCUCUCGCCCUUGUUACAUUUAUUGCAUUUGAGCUGAACAAAAUAGAUUUGUUUGCCCCGUCUAGAAACACGGACCAAGGAGUCUAACAUAUGUGCGAGUACUGGGGCAACAAACCUCGGUGCGCAAUGAAAGUGUCAGAGGCUGGAAUGUCUUGUACAUUGCACAGUCCGCCGGCCUCAAUCCCUCGGGAAAAUGGUCUGAGUGUGAGCAUACAUGUUGGGACCCGAAAGAUGGUGAACUAUGCUUGAGUAGGGUGAAGCCAGGGGAAACUUUGGUGAAGGCUCGCAGCGAUUCUGACGUGCAAAUCGAUCGUCAAACUUGAGUAUAGGGGCGAAAGACUAAUCGAACUAUCUAGUAGCUGGUUCCCUCCGAAAUUUCCCUUAGGAUAGCUGCAAUCUUUAUAUUAGCCAGUUUUGUCA
rnacentral:rRNA from 1 species